rnacentral:rRNA from 1 species
GCCUAGUCGUGGGGGAUACCGUAGCGAAAGUUACGUUAAUACCGCAUACGUCCUGAGGGAGAAAGCAGGGGAUUCGCAAGAACCUUGCGCGAUUAGAGUGGCCGAUGCCUGAUUAGCUUGUUGGUGGGGUAAAGGCCUACCAAGGCGACGAUCAGUAGCGGGUCUGAGAGGAUGAUCCGCCACACUGGAACUGAGACACGGUCCAGACUCCUACGGGAGGCAGCAGUGGGGAAUCUUGGACAAUGGGGGCAACCCUGAUCCAGCCAUUCCGCGUGAGUGAAGAAGGCCUUCGGGUUGUAAAGCUCUUUCAGCGGGAACGAAACGGUACGCUCUAACAUAGUGUGCUAAUGACGGUACCCGCAGAAGAAGCACCGGCUAACUACCUGCCAGCAGCCGCGGUAAUACGUAGGGUGCGAGCGUUAAUCGGAAUUACUGGGCGUAAA